rnacentral:ncRNA from 1 species
UCCGGAUAAACUUGCAUCCAUCCAAGAGAAUGGGGCAAGUCACUUUACGGAAGUUAAAUUGAGUAACACAUUUCAGGAUUGCCAAAGGCUUACAUAUAAGCGAAAUCUUGAAAUGAUUAGGAUAACCGUAUGUCCUUUAGUGUUUUAUACUAUAAAAAUAAUCUUGAACAGCUUUGAUUAAGUUUUCAAGUUAUGGUCUG